UAGGGAAUCUUCGGCAAUGGGGGGAACCCUGACCGAGCACCGCCGCGUGGGGGAGGAAGGUUUUCGGAUCGUAAAGCUCUGUUGUUAGGGAAGAACGAGGGGGAGAAUGGAAAGUUCAUACUGUGACGGUAGUUAACCAGAAAGGGACGGCUAACUACGUGCCAGCAGCCGCGGUAAUACGUAGGUCCCGAGCGUUGUCCGGAUUUAUUGGGCGUAAAGCGAGCGCAGGCGGUUAGAUAAGUCUGAAGUUAAAGGCAGUGGCUCAACCAUUGUAGGCUUUGGAAACUGUUUAACUUGAGUGCAGAAGGGGAGAGUGGAAUUCCAUGUGUAGCGGUGAAAUGCGUAGAUAUAUGGAGGAACACCGGUGGCGAAAGCGGCUCUCUGGUCUGUAACUGACGCUGAGGCUCGAAAGCGUGGGGAGCGAACAGG
rnacentral:rRNA from 1 species